rnacentral:rRNA from 1 species
UACAGAGGGUGCGAGCGUUAAUCGGAUUUACUGGGCGUAAAGGGCGCGUAGGCGGUGAUGUGAGUGUGAUGUGAAAUCCCAGGGCUCAACCCUGGAACUGCCUUCUAGACUGCAAGCCUGGAGGUCAGGAGAGGCGAGUGGAAUACCGAGUGUAGAGGUGAAAUUCGUAGAUAUUCGGUGGAACACCAGUGGCGAAGGCGACUCGCUGGACUGAUACUGACGCUGAGGUGCGAAAGCGU